rnacentral:ncRNA from 1 species
UUUUAUCAAGAAGGUGGAGGGACUGGCCCUAUGAAGCCUAGCAACAGCUCAUAAUAUGAGAAUUGUGCUAAUUCCUGCAGAAAUUUAUUUCUGAAAGAUAAGA